UUCAUGGAGAGUUUGAUCCUGGCUCAGGACGAACGCUGGCGGCGUGCCUAAUACAUGCAAGUCGAGCGGACCGAUGGGAGCUUGCUCCCUUAGGUCAGCGGCGGACGGGUGAGUAACACGUGGGUAACCUGCCUGUAAGACUGGGAUAACUCCGGGAAACCGGGGCUAAUACCGGAUGCUUGAUUGAACCGCAUGGUUCAAUCAUAAAAGGUGGCUUUUAGCUACCACUUACAGAUGGACCCGCGGCGCAUUAGCUAGUUGGUGAGGUAACGCGCAACCAAGGCUACGUAGCGUAGUCGAUUGUGUAGUGGGCGUGCAGACACGGGGACGUAUAGAGGGUCACGU
rnacentral:rRNA from 1 species